rnacentral:rRNA from 1 species
UACGUAGGUGGCAAGCGUUGUCCGGAUUUACUGGGCGUAAAGAGCGCUCAGGCGGUCGUUCAAGUCGUGUGUGAAAGCCUCCGGCUCAACUGGGGAGGGUCACGCGAUACUGAUCGACUCGAAGGCAGGAGAGGGAAGUGGAAUUCCCGGUGUAGUGGUGAAAUGCGUAGAUAUCGGGAGGAACACCAGUGGCGAAGGCGACUUCCUGGCCUGUUCUUGACGCUGAGGCGCGAAAGCUAGGGGAGCAAACGGG